GGCCGGUGAUGUGAUCAAAAUAUUUGCUACUCUUGAUGGAGCAAAGGCUCCGCCUGACGACCAAGAACCACCAAGAUCUCUGAGGCCCUCUUUAAUGAGUUUUCCUGAUUUUUGUCGAAACGUAUGAAAUAUUAGAAUGGAUGGGACACUAACUAGCACGGGAAUAACAAGUGCCGAUUCAAAAUCGUUGCACGAAUUUCAUCUUGUUAACAUUGGGUACAGUAACUCCACGAAAUCUAACCUAUAGGAAACGAGCCAAAUUUCCCAAAAGAAAUCUGCAUGUUUGUAAAUGUAAAGGACAACCAGGUCGGCGAAAGACUGUUAUUCGCAUUCAGUAAAGAAUUAAAUUUUCGAAGCACAUAUUUUUGAGUUGUGAAUGUGCGUGUGUGUUUUCUAACACCAUCAAAAUGUUUGCUAGUGGGCCAUUAGUCUUUAGUCUUAUGGGAAGAGCUCUCUGAUCCGAAGAUCAACCGACAGAUGUAAUGGAUUUGAACUUAAAUUUAUCUUCGGGGCAUCAGAAGCAAACAUGACAUUCCAGUCCAUGGAAAUAAAUUGAGACGAAUGAUUUGAAGUGUAAGUUGAAUUCCUGAACAUAUUUUAUAUCAUUAAUAAUAAUUACAUAUUUUG
rnacentral:lncRNA from 7 species